AUAACGAUAGAGAUUUGACUUCAUAAGACAUCAAGGAAGGUUAUAACGAUAGAGAUUUGACUUCAUAAGAGAUCAAGGAAGGUUAUAACGAUAGAGAUUUGGCUUCAUAAGAGAUCAAGGAAGGUUAUAACGAUAGAGAUUUGACUUCAUAAGACAUCAAGGAAGGUUAUAACGAUAGAGAUUUGGCUUCAUAAGAGAUCAAGGAAGGUUAUAACGAUAGAGAUUUGACUUCAUAAGACAUCAAGGAAGGUAAAGAAAAAGGGUCGUUAUGCUUGAGAAAUCAGAAGUAAUGAGUGAGUGGUGGCGAAGAGGAUGGGAAUGGGAACGAGUUUGCUAAUAAUUUAAAGAUACAUUAAUAUUGACUUGGAAUUAAACGAGUGCAAUUAGGAAUAAGGAUGAUAAUUGUAAAAGUGACUGAAACAAAGAAGGUAAGAUGAUUUUGACUUUUAUUUUGUUGUUGUCCAUUCUUCUUUUACUUGAGGUUUGAGGUUGAAGAAGACCUGAGAUAGACACACAGGUAAAGGGAGGGUGAGUUUGAGGCAUAAACAAAAAUAAUUGUAUAAAGAAGAAUAGGAAAAGAAAGACGGGUUGGUUGGUUGAGGGAGCAUUUUGACUCUUUAAUUUUAUGGUACGUUCUUUCUUUUACUAGAGGUUUGCGAUUGAUGUAGA